CCUACGGGUGGCAGCAGUGGGGAAUAUUGCACAAUGGGGGAAACCCUGAUGCAGCGACGCCGCGUGAGUGAAGAAGUAUUUCGGUACGUAAAGCUCUAUCAGCAGGGAAGAAAAUGACGGUACCUGACUAAGAAGCACCGGCUAACUACGUGACAGCAGCCGCGGUAAUACGUAGGGGGCCAGCGUUAUCCGGAUUUACUGGGUGUAAAGGGAGCGUAGGCGGCAGCGCAAGUCUGGAGUGAAAUCCCAUGGCUUAACCAUGGAACUGCUUUGGCAACUGUGCAGCUAGAGUGCAGGAGAGGUAAGCGGAAUUCCUAGUGUAGCGGUGAAAUGCGUAGAUAUUAGGAGGAACACCAGUGGCGAAGGCGGCUUACUGGACUGUAACUGACGUUGAGGCUCGAAAGCGUGGGGAGCAAACAGGAUUAGAUACCCGAGUAGUC
rnacentral:rRNA from 1 species